GCUCAGAGGUGGAAUGGUGUCCAUAAGAACGUUGCCGUAAACUGUACUUCCACACAAACGGGAUAUAAAUUCGGGGUAGUACUGCAGGUUCGAAUCCUGCCUGAGCCU
rnacentral:tRNA from 1 species